rnacentral:rRNA from 1 species
GACGAACCGUGCGAACGUUGUUCGGAAUCACUGGGCUUAAAGGGCGCGUAGGCGGGUCGCCGCGUCCGGGGUGAAAUCCCACGGCUCAACCGUGGAACGGCCUCGGAUACGGGCGGCCUCGAGGGGGGUAGGGGCAUCUGGAACUGUGAGUGGAGCGGUGAAAUGCGUUGAUAUUCACAGGAACUCCGGUGGCGAAGGCGAGGUGCUGGACCCCUUCUGACGCUGAGGCGCGAAAGCCAGGGGAGCGAACGGG